rfam:Gossypium raimondii Chr07_contig_605, whole genome shotgun sequence.
GGAGAGAUGGUCGAGUGGUUCAAGGCGUAGCAUUGGAACUGCUAUGUAGACUCUUGUUUACCGAGGGUUAUUAAUCCCUCUUUUUUCA